CCUACGGGUGACAGCAGUGAGGAAUAUUGGUCAAUGGGCGAGAGUCUGAACCAGCCAAGUAGCGUGAAGGAUGACUGCCCUAUGGGUUGUAAACUUCUUUUAUAUGGGAAUAAAGUGAUGCACGUGUGUCAUUUUGUAUGUACUAUAUGAAUAAGGAUCGGCUAACUCCGUGCCAGCAGCCGCGGUAAUACGGAGGAUCCGAGCGUUAUCCGGAUUUAGUGGGUUUAAAGGGAGCGUAGAUGGAUUGGUAAGUCAGUUGUGAAAGUUUGCGGCUCAACCGUAAAAUUGCAGUUGAAACUGGCAGUCUUGAGUACAGUAGAGGUGGGCGGAAUUCGUGGUGUAGCGGUGAAAUGCUUAGAUAUCACGAAGAACACCGAUUGCGAAGGCAGCUUACUGGACUGCAACUGACAUUGAGGCUCGAAAGUGUGGGUAUCAAACAGGAUUAGAUACCCUUGUAGUC
rnacentral:rRNA from 1 species